GACGAACGCUGGCGGCGUGCUUAACACAUGCAAGUCGAACGGAAAGGCCCUAGCUUGGUGGGGUGCACGAGUGGCGAACGGGUGAGUAACACGUGGGUGACCUGCCCUGGACUUUGGGAUAAGUUCGGGAAACUGGGGCUAAUACCGGAUAGGAGCACGUGGUGCAUAGUGGGGGGGGGAGAGUUUUGGCGGUUGGGGGUGGACGCGCGGCUUAUCAGCUUGUUGGUGGGGUAGUGGCUUACCAAGGCUUUGACGGGUAGCCGGCCUGAGAGGGUGACCGGCCACAUUGGGACUGAGAUACGGCCCAGACUCCUACGGGAGGCAGCAGUGGGGAAUAUUGCACAAUGGGCGGAAGCCUGAUGCAGCAACGCCGCGUGCGGGAUGACGGCCUUCGGGUUGUAAACCGCUUUCGCCUGUGACGAAGCGUGUGUGACGGUAAUGGGUAAAGAAGCACCGGCUAACUACGUG
rnacentral:rRNA from 1 species